CAGGGAGACAACAAAAUGUUUAAUAUUAUUAUUUUGUCACCUUAGGUCGAUCGGUAUCUCACGUUUUUAAUUUAUUAAGAAUUUCAUUUCCUAAGUUUUUCUAGGUCACACCCAUUAUUUUUCCUGGGCCAUUAGCUCAGGUGGUUAGAGCGCACCCCUGAUAAGGGUGAGGUCCCUGGUUCAAGUCCAGGAUGGCCCAUAUCUCUAUGUUGGGGGUAUAGCUCAGUUGGUAGAGCGCCUGCUUUGCAAGCAGGAUGUCAGCGGUUCGAGUCCGCUUACCUCCACUGAUCACCACCUCUUCCAUAAUCGAUAGAAAGGAAAUUUUUUGAGUUGUGAUCAAAUUCUGAAAGAAUCUAGCUUCCUAAUGAAAUCAUUAAGAUGCUGGACUCAUUGAAUUAAUUUCAUUGUUUUCAGAGAACCUUGACAACUGCAUAGAUUAUUUUUAAAGACAAUAAGCAUCUUUAAUGAUGCAGAUUUAUUAUUUGUGCAAAUGCAUUAAUAACAAUUCUAUUAAGCUGAUGCUUCAAUAUUUGAAGUUAUU
rnacentral:tRNA from 1 species